AGCGAACGUUUGCGGCGGGCCUAACACAUGCAAGUCGAACGCACUAGCAAUAGUGAGUGGCGCACGGGUGCGUAACACGUGGGUAAUCAACCCCUCAGCCUGGGAUAACGACUCGAAAGGGUCGCUAAUACCGGAUACGGCGCGAGAGGCUUCGGCUUCUCACGAGAAAGCCACGCAAGGGGCACUGAAGGACGAGCCUGCGGCCCAUCAGCUAGUUGGUGAGGUAAGAGCUCACCAAGGCUAAGACGGGUAGCUGGUCUGAGAGGAUGAUCAGCAACACUGGGACUGAGACACGGCCCAGACUCCUACGGGAGGCAGCAGUGGGGAAUCUUAGACAAUGGGCGCAAGCCUGAUCUAGCCAUGCCGCGUGGACGAUGAAGGCCUUAGGGUUGUAAAGUCCUUUCAGAUGGGAAGAUAAUGACGGUACCAUCAGAAGAAGCCCCGGCUAACUCCGUGCCAGCAGCCGCGGUAAUGUACAGUGU
rnacentral:rRNA from 1 species